ensembl:lncRNA
GCCUCGCUAAACGAUGCACACCUGUAACUCACGUGACCCUGAUUAUUAUUGAAACGAGAACGAGGGCGUCGUGCCUUUAUAAGACUGCGUUAAUGGCGUUAAUGUUUCCGUGGAGUUAUCCCUUCCGUUGUUGUUUAUUGAUUGUUAAACAUGGCUUCAUUUGCAAAGGUGGUUGUGUGUGUCCUCAUUGCCUUUGUCUGUAAUGCAUUCUGUUUUACGAAGAGAGAUGUGAACUUUAAGGCCUCUGCAGUUGACCGCCAAAGUGAUGAUGUGGUUGUCACCACAACACCCAAUCCCCACAACCAGACCACAUCUGCCCAUACUGAAGCUGGUGGUGGUGCAAGUGAAGAUGCUGUGGCUACUACCCCAGCACCUAAUCCACACAACCAGACAACUUCUGCACAAACUGAAGUUACUGAUGGAGCCAGUGAAGAUGCUGAGGACCGCCAAAGUGAUGAUAUGGUUGUCACCACAACACCCAAUCCCCACAACCAGACCACAUCUGCCCAUACUGAAGCUGGUGAUGGAGCCAGUGAAGAUGCUGAGGACCGCCAAAGUGAUGAUGUGGUUGUCACCACAACACCCAAUCCCCACAACCAGACCACAUCUGCCCCUACUGAAGCUGGUGGUGCAAGUGAAGAUGCUACCACCCUAGCACCAAAUCCCCAUAAACAAACUACAUCAGGCCACACUGCAGCUACUGAUGAUGCAAGUGAGGGUGCUGUGGCUGUCCAAACUGGAACUACUGUAUCCCAUACGACUGAAGUCUGAUUCGACUGCUCCUCUGGUCACAAUGACCUGAGUCACUGUCUGGACUUUUUGCCUCUACAUGUUGACUGCAAUAAAGGACAGAUAAUUAUUAUUAUUA